GUGAGCAGUGAGGUUUGGGAGGGACCGACUUGUUGGCCUUGAGAUUGAUGCCCAGCUCCUUGCUCAUCGCAUUCUGUUCGGCUCGAGGUUCUGGACACGGCUUGCUCUUCUAAGCAGUGUGAGGGCUCUGAGAAAGACUUUGUUGGAUGCAGCAGGAAAGCACAGCUGCUGGUGGAUGCCAGUGUCCGCUCCUGAGGCUCUGCGCCAAGCUCUGCCCAGUGCUGAUGGGAUGUCAGUGCCACCUGCUGCUCUCCAUGAACUGCAGGUUCAAUUCCUUUUGGCUUCCACAGCAUUUGCUACUCUUUUGUUCUGUCUCACUUCUCUUUUUUCCAUGUUGCCUGCUGGCGCCUCGCUGCAGUUCCCAGGAUGCCACUGCACACUUUGGACCAAGUGAGAUGCAGAAGAAGAGGGUUGGCCACUCCUCCACCAGAUGCAGCAGGCAUUUUGGGUUGCCCAAGCUUCCGCAGUGAACGUGUCCCGUUCCUGGUAAAGGUGUGGGCGUUCCUGGACGUGCCCAGUCCCCUGGAUCCCUGCUGUCUCCUGUUUCACACGCUCGCUCAGGUCCUUUGGGGCUUGGUGUCGCUUGUCCCUCGUGCUCCCGUUGCUGUCACCGGGUGUUGUUCCUUUGCCCAUGCUCAGCUCUGCCCAGUGCUGAUGGGAUGCCAGUGCCACCUGCUGCUCUUAAGAAAAGGUAGGUUUGAUUUCUUUUGGUUUCCAUAGCAUUUGCUACACUUUCAUUCUGUCUCCUUUUUUUUUUCUUUUUGCUCUCAAUAAAUGGCAGGUUCAAUUCAUUUUGGCUCCUGUAGUAUUUGCUACACGUGUGUUCUGUUUCUCUUCUCUUUUUUCCAUGUUGCCUGGUGGUGCCUCGGGAACUCAUGGAGUUCCCAUGACCCCCGGGCCCACUUGUGACCAAGUGAGGUGCCAAAAACAGAGGUAUCUCCUAAGCAGGCUUGUGCUGAGUGCUGUCCUCGUCUUGGGGUUUGUCCAAUGCCCACCUUUCUUUUCUAGCCCACUUUGUUGCGGAUGGCGUGUGAGGCUUUCUUCUUUCUUUGUAGGAUUGGCUACUCCAGCCCCAGAAGUAGCAGGCAUUUGGGGAUGUCCAAGGUUCGGCAGUGAACGUGUCCUGUUCCUGGUAAAAGUGUGGGCGUUCCUGGACACGAAGGUAUCUAUCUUCAUGCCUUGCCCAUGUGCCCAGUCCCCCACCAGAUGCUGUUUGCCUUUUGGCCCCCCUGAUUUGCUGCACUGCUGCGCCCUGAUCCUUGCAGAGGGGCUCUCAUUGGUCACCGGCAGCGCCGUCCCGCCCUCGCCAGCCUGUGAUUGGUCAUCGGCAGUGCCGUCCCGCCCUCAUGUGUCUCUCAUUGGUCAUCGGCAGCGCCGUCCCGCCCCUGC